GUCUGACCAUUGUUUCAGGGUUCUGGAAUUCAAGAGUGUGGGGGCACAAAUGCCCUUCUUAAAACUCGGUGUCAGGGAGACACUGGAACGGUGGCCAUUUCUUUCCCAUCUGUUGCUGUGGACCCGAGGAUCUGAUUAAGCCUUAAGUUUCAUUUCCAUCAGCAGACGAGGGUUGUUGCCAGGAAGGGAGCUCAUCCAUCCACAGAGCAUCCUCAUGAAAGCUCAGGAAUGUCGGCCUCCGUGCAGGAAAGAAGAGAUGAAUGAGAAUUCUUCAGCACUACAGCCUGGAACUUACCUGGAGGCAAACAUUUGACAAGAAAUAAGAUGCCUGAGUUGCUGAACCCUGCUAUGGGACAACGUGUUGAAAAAUAAAGGAGCAGGAAUUUUAGAGAGAGACCUAGGUUUGAGUCCCAGAUCUGUUGCUGACCUGGUAUAUAAUUAUAAAGCAAAUGUUAUAUAACUCUUUCAAGCCUCCUACCUUGUCAGAGGCUCUAUUUUCUUAUAUGUAAGGUGACCAUUCCAAUUGUAUAAAUUGAUAUUAUAUAUAUAUACACACACCAUAUUAGUGAUAUGCAUUUAAUAAAUAUGAAUUUAUUAGAUGAUGAAUGAAAGAUGAGUUUACCCACACUAUCAUGGUGACAGUUUAAUUCUUGGCAUAUCACCUAUUGGGAACCCAUUUGGCUCCCAGCAAAUCUCUCUCUAGUUUCCCAUCAUAUAAUUUUGGCAGUGUUCUAUACCUCUGUCAUGUGGGUUCACUAGUUGCCUUUAUCCUACCAAGUUAUAGUUGUAAGUCAAUCCUGUUCUUGCUGUGAUUUCACAUAGUUUAAUAAUCUGGGCUGUGGUCUGAUGUAUGUACAGGAAAACUCACAAAGCCUCACAGUGGAAUAAAAACAUUUUCAAAGACUCCUCCUGGCUCAGUCAACCCUAAUGAGAUAUUAGGUCAUUAGAGACUCUUUGCCAUCAAUUAAUCAUUAGAUCAGAAACCAUUCAUUGAUGUCAGUGGGGGAAUUCAUCUUAAAGGAUAGUACCACUAGCAUGCAAAGGAGCAUUUGCUGGUAUCUCUGAAAAUCUG
rnacentral:lncRNA from 1 species